UUUUUUUGAAUCUUGGUAUGGAAAUCUUGAAUCUUGGAAUCUGAGCUCCUGCGUGGAAAAUCAGACAUCCUACCCCACAAAAUGAUGAGCAAGCAGUCAGUUUCAUAGUGGGAAUGCCAUCACUUACUCUGCUAUGCAACUUGCUUCUUGGGCUCCGUCAGGCUGGCUGCUGGGUGUAGUUGACUGAAUAUCCAUAUGGAAUGAGGUUUAUUUAUGAGUGGGAAGAAACCCAUAAAGAAGAGUUAUUAAGUCCAGGAGGAGCUGAUUUACGUCAUGGGGCUGGACGAGAGCCAUGUACCAGCCUGCCUUGAGGAAGACCUGAGUUUUCAUCACAGGGUGCAGUUUUUUGCCUUGAAACCGAGCUGUCUUGCUUCCAGCUUGUGAAGAGUGCCUAGGAGAUCUGAGGAAGUCAGAUAGGGUAGGUGUCUGCAGAGAUACCUGGCUUAUGUCAAUAAACAUGUAGAAUCAC